AUGACUGAUUAAGUCCCCAUUCUCUUCCCUCCCAGGGAACAUAGGUUCAGUGGCUGGGAACAGCAGCUUUCCUAGGAAUAUCCAGAACCCAUUGCUUUUCCAGGCUCCCCUUAGGAACCCUGGAGACAGCC
ensembl:snoRNA SNORA70 Small nucleolar RNA SNORA70